rnacentral:rRNA from 1 species
GACGAACGCUGGCGGCGUGCCUAAUACAUGCAAGUAGAACGAGUUGCGAACGGGUGAGUAACGCGUGGUAACCUGCCUCAUAGCGGGGGAUAACUAUUGGAAACGAUAGCUAACACCGCAUACCAUCAGAUGUGCCCAGAUGGGAUUAGCUUGUUGGUGGGGUAACAGCGCACCAAGGCGACGACCCCUAGCUGGUCUGAGAGGAUGACCAGCCACACUGGAACUUAGACACGGUCCAGACUCCUACGGUAGGCAGCAGUGGGGAAUAUUGCACAAUGGGCGCAAGCCUUAUGCAGCCAUGCCGCGUGUAUGAAGAAGGCCUUCGGGUUGUAAAGUACUUUCAGCGGGGAGGCGUUACCCGCAGAAGAAACACCGGCUAACUCCGUGCCAGCAGCCGCGGUAAUUC